rnacentral:misc_RNA from 1 species
AAAGGGGGGUUUACACGAUGCCAGUGACUUGAACAAGUUACUAAAAUCCAGCACUGGAUUUUAGUACUUGCUUUGUGUAAACAUAUAUUCCAAUACUAAAUUCCAGUACUGAUUUUAGUAACGAUUCCAGUACAGUGAAUAGAAAGCAUUUCUAUUUACUGAAGCAAGUGGUUACCCCCACUCCCACUAUCCUCUUAACUAAACCUGUGUAGACACGAUGAUUCCAGCGUUCGAUUUUAGUAAAUAAAUCAGUACGUAGUUUUAGUAAUUGUUUUAAAGUGUAGGUGUUAUUAUUAUUCAAAAUGUGCGCAAAAUGGACUGAAGAUACCACAGUAAAGUUUGUAGAAUUAUAUAGGGAGGAAGAGUGCCUUUGGAAUACACAGUUGGUAAUCUAUAGAAAUAAACAAGCCCGUGAGUCGGCUAUAAAAAGAAUUGUGGAAACAAUGGAAAUCGAGAAUUUUGGCCCAAUAGAUGUAAAAAACAAAAUAAAAACUCUAAGGUCGACGUAUGUACAAGAGGUAGCAAAAAUUAAGAAAUCGCAAAGCUCUGGGGCCGGAGCCGAUGAAAUAUAUAAACCAAAAAUGAAGUGGUUUUCAGUUAUGCAUAUGUUUUUACAAACAAUGGAUAAGAGAAGGGUAACAUGCAGUAAUUUGGCUUCAGAAACAUAUAAUGGAUCGAAUACAUUACAAGUAGAAGAUGAAGUUGAAGAGGCAACACACGAAGAAGUACCAUUAGCAGCAGAGGUAAUAAAAGCGAAUGUUAGUGGAGCUAUUAAUGAACCUACUCCAAAACGCCAUAAGGCAGCGAAGUCCAAGAUUAAAGAAGUUGCUGGUUGCAUCAAAGACUUAAAUUCUUUAACGACGUCUAUUCGAGAUCUACAAUCUACGGAAUCAUCUGAAAAUGAAUUCGAUAUUUUCGGGAAGAGCGUAGCUGCACAAUUAAAUAAGUUGCCCCUUUUAGCGGCCGUCACGGCUCAAGCUGAAAUUCAGCAAAUUUUGACUCGUUCCAGAGUGUCAAAUAUAGAAGGUACAAGCACCUCAUUAGGUUCUUCCAGAUGCACCAGUGCAUUUAGUACUUUGCCGAUCCCGGAAUCAGGUGAGACCUUGAUUUCUCCAGAAUCACCCAACACAUCCCUACCACCGGCAGAUAACAAUACAAGCAAUAUUCUUUCCGAAGCAUAUAGAUCCGCUUUUGAUCUAGAUACUGAUAAUUGGGGUUAGAAUCAUAUACUUUAUUUUCAUUCAUACUUAAUAUUUAGAUUUCAGUUUAAAGAAUAAUGUGUUAUUUUACGUUUAAUUGAAUAAUAUGAUAUAUGAAUAAUUAUUUUUUUACUGUUGAAAACUAUGAUUUUAAUUUUAUAAAAAAAGGAAUACGACAUUAUUUACCUGUAUAAAAUCCUCCAAUGCAUCGUAUAUGGCAUCGCAUACUUCUGGAAUAAACUUGGAAAUUGCAGGCCGGGAAACACGGAAUUGCUGCUGCAAAUUUCGGUAACUAUUUCCAGUAGCUAAAUAUGACAGAGUAAUUUCUAAUUUUGUUCUGGCAGAAGAACGUCAAAGGAAGCAGGAGACAUUCUCAUACAGUUUCUGUAUUCUUGAACGUCUUCGAUGGCAAGUUCCUUUAAAAGCAUGUUAGAUGCACCAUGCGUGCUUCUCCUUGCCAGCCAUUUUCUAACCCAAAUUCUUUUCUUGGGAUUUGUUGUUAAUUCACUCUGAACAAUGUCAAUUAACUCCUCUAUCAGUACUUUAACACCUAAUAUUAAGCUUCUUUUAAGUAAAACAUAUUCCUUCUGCUUCGCACUCAUCAUUUAAAUUUAACGUUUUUAAUUCUCGCCUGUAACCUACACUACAAAAACUUGAUAAAAUGGAUUUUAUGCAAGUUACUUGAUCAAAUGACUGGCAUCAUGUAGACAAGAACUAUCUUCCAAAGCACUUGCUUUUGGUACUGGAUUCUAGUAACUUGUUCAAGUCACUGGCAUCGUGUAAACCCCC